GACGAACGCUGGCGGCGUGCUUAACACAUGCAAGUCGAACGGAAAGGCCCUGCUUUUGUGGGGUGCUCGAGUGGCGAACGGGUGAGUAACACGUGAGUAACCUGCCCUUGACUUUGGGAUAACUUCAGGAAACUGGGGCUAAUACCGGAUAGGAGCUCCUGCUGCAUGGUGGGGGUUGGAAAGUUUCGGCGGUUGGGGAUGGACUCGCGGCUUAUCAGCUUGUUGGUGGGGGAGUGGCUUACCAAGGCUUUGACGGGUAGCCGGCCUGAGAGGGUGACCGGCCACAUUGGGACUGAGAUACGGCCCAGACUCCUACGGGAGGCAGCGGUGGGGAAUAUUGCACAAUGGGCGGAAGCCUGAUGCAGCAACGCCGCGUGCGGGAUGACGGCCUUCGGGUUGUAAACCGCUUUCGCCUGUGACGAAGCGUGAGUGACGGUAAUGGGUAAAGAAGCACCGGCUAACUACGUG
rnacentral:rRNA from 1 species